rnacentral:rRNA from 1 species
GAUGAACGCUGGCGGCGUGCUUAACACAUGCAAGUCGAACGAUGAAGCCCAGCUUGCUGGGUGGAUUAGUGGCGAACGGGUGAGUAACACGUGAGUAACCUGCCCUUAACUCUGGGAUAAGCCUGGGAAACUGGGUCUAAUACCGGAUAGGAGCGUCCACCGCAUGGUGGGUGUUGGAAAGAUUUAUCGGUUUUGGAUGGACUCGCGGCCUAUCAGCUUGUUGGUGAGGUAAUGGCUCACCAAGGCGACGACGGGUAGCCGGCCUGAGAUGGUGACCGGCCACACUGGGACUGAGACACGGCCCAGACUCCUACGGGAGGCAGCAGUGGGGAAUAUUGCACAAUGGGCGCAAGCCUGAUGCAGCGACGCCGCGUGAGGGAUGACGGCCUUCGGGUUGUAAACCUCUUUCAGUAGGGAAGAAGCGAAAGUGACGGUACCUGCAGAAGAAGCACCGGCUAACUACGUG